ACCAGAGGGUUUUAUUCCUAAUCAGCUAGUCCAGCUGCCGUCUGGAUAGUCUCUGACUAAUAAGUAAGUUAUUACACAGAAAUAGGAUUAAUCUAUAUCACAAAUUUUGGUUGUAUACUUACUAAUCAAUUUUAUUACCAAGGUAACAAGAACUAAUACCAACCUGAGGAAUUAGUUAUUUGAAAGGACUACACAGUUAGUUGGAAUUCCACCAAUACUGAUUCAUUGCCAUAGAAUACCCCUGAUGAAGUCAAUAAUGAUGAAACGCGUUGGUUGAUUCAUUGCUUUAUUAUUCAGAUCCUAAAUGAAAGAAAUGAACUGUCUUUCAAAUACAUGUUAAGAAUUCUAUUGGACAUAUGUAUUAGCACAGACAUAACUACAGUCGGAAAGACCCAUGAACAAACAACUGAAGACAACUGCGGCAAAGGCCUGGCAAACCAUAGCAAAGGAGGAAACCCAGCAUUUAGUGAUGUUCAAGGGAUCCAGACUUCAGGCAGUCAUUUUCCACAAAAUAUUAAAAUUAACAUUUAAUUCAUGAUUAUGUUAAUUCGUCUAAAGACAAUUUGAGCACUUGAAAACAGGGGACGGUGUAUAAAAA